UACGAAGGGGGCUAGCGUUGCUCGGAAUCACUGGGCGUAAAGGGUGCGUAGGCGGGUCUUUAAGUCAGGGGUGAAAUCCCAGAGCUCAACUCUGGAACUGCCUUUGAUACUGUCGAUCUGGAGUACGGAAGAGGUGAGUGGAAUUCCGAGUGUAGAGGUGAAAUUCGUAGAUAUUCGGAGGAACACCAGUGGCGAAGGCGGCUCACUGGUCCAUUACUGACGCUGAGGUGCGAAAGCGUGGGGGAGCAAACAGG
rnacentral:rRNA from 1 species